GAUGAACGCUGGCGGCGUGCCUAAUACAUGCAAGUCGAGCGAACAGACGAGGAUCUUGCUCCUCUUACGUUAGCGGCGGACGGGUGAGUAACACGUGGAUAACCUACCUAUAAGACUGGGAUAACUUCGGGAAACCGGAGCUAAUACCGGAUAAUAUAUUGAACCGCAUGGUUCAAUAGUGCAAGCCGGUUUUGCUGUCACUUAUAGAUGGAUCCUCGCCGCAUUAGCUAGUUGGUAAGGUAACGGCUUACCAAGGCAACGAUGCGUAGCCGACCUGAGAGGGUGAUCGGCCACACUGGAACUGAGACACGGUCCAGACUCCUACGGGAGGCAGCAGUAGGGAAUAUUCCGCAAUGGGCGAAAGCCUGACGGAGCAACGCCGCGUGAGUGAUGAAGGUCUUCGGAUCGUAAAACUCUGUUAUUAGGGAAGAACAAAUGUGUAAGUAACUAUGCACGUCUUGACGGUACCUAAUCAGAAAGCCACGGCUAACUACGUG
rnacentral:rRNA from 1 species